ensembl:snRNA U6 U6 spliceosomal RNA
GUGCUUGCUCCAGCAGCACACAUUCUAAAACUAGCUUAAUACAGAGAAGAGUGGCAUGGCACCCAAGCAAGGCAAGGAUGACAGGCAAAUCUGGAAAGUAUUCCACAGCUUU